GGCGCUUUUGUUUGCAAAAAUCCGGUUUGGGUUUUAGGUUUUGGUUUGGAUAAAAAAUAAUGAUAAACUUAAACUGGUUUCGGUUAAAAUGAGUUCUUGAACAAACAGGCGGUUUGUAUGAACAAAAUGACGAAUCUAGAAAAAUAGUGAUUAAAUUUAUUUUAUGGACUAAGCACAUUGAUAAAAUUACAAAAAAGGCAAAUUCGACCUUGGCUCUACUCCGUAGAAAUAUUCGCCACUGUCCAUCAGCAUGCAGAAAAAGUGCCUACUUAGCUUUAAUACGAUCAACUCUCGAAUAUAGUGCUAUCGUUUGGGACCCUUACUUAGAAGGCGAUAUUAAUAAGUUAGAACGUAUCCAGCGUCAGGCAGCGAGAUUUAUUACCGGCGACUACAGGUCUAGAGAAAAAGGAUCGGUCACAAACAUGUUGGAAUCUCUCAAACUAACUCCACUUCAGGAUCGUAGAAGAACCAGUCGACUUGUAUUUCUCUACAAAGUGGCCGGGGGUCUGGUGCCAGCUAUACACCCUUCGGAUUACCUACAAACUGUAACUCGUAAAAGACAAAUCAGAGCAAAAUCAUAUAGUGAUUUCCAAGUGUCAAACAUUGUUGAAAACCAAGUAAUAAACAAUACCAGAGGUUUUAGUGUUAAGCAUUGUAAAUCUGAGCAAUUGAAAAACUCAUUUUUUGUGAAAACUAUAAUUGAAUGGAACCACCUGGACGAUAGGGUGGUCCGCGCAGAGACAACAGAGGGCUUCAAGUCUGCCCUUCUUCACGAUUAAGCGCCUCCCUCCAGUGUGCGAAGCUGUAACAGGCCCUACACUGUAAAACAUACAGAUACAGAUUUAUUCUAAAUGGAGAUAAAUGACAGAUUUUGUAUCUAAGAGCCAAACAUAUUAAAUAACAUGUACUACUAUUACUACUCCUCACGUGCCGCCACAAUUUAACAUAGCAAAGCUAAUUAUGGCAUAGACAGUUGAGUCACUUCCUUUUGCACUCGAGAACAUUAGACCAAUUGAGUGAAUACAAAUGAUAGUUUUUGUUAAGUUUAAUGUCAGACUGACAGAAUUAUAGGUCAUAUAUCAACUUUCAAUGCAUUAUUUAAGGCAUGGGCGGGCAGCUAGGUAAAGCCACUGUCCGUUAAGUCAGCUGGAUUACUUAAAAAUCCACACAUGAAAGAAUUCUACACCCUGAGCAAGGUUCCGAGCACACUGCAGUGAAGGACAAAUAAUUUAAUAUCAACUACCCUAACCAUCCGGCCACAAAGACUAAGACUGAGAUGUAAUCAUAUAACUGUAUCCACUAUCCAGCAGACUUUUUUUUUAUUUCAAUUUGAUGAAAAUUAGAGAUUAAGUGUUUUGUAACAGGGAUAACUCCUAAAUUGAAAUCAUUGCUGUUUCCUUGUUUUAGACACACUCAGCAAAGUUUGACAGUUGUGAUGUAGUUAAUGUGCAAAAAUAGAUGACGUUAUACUACUCAAGGUUCAAGCAAAGCACAUAUACUCUGACUCUGGUGCUGGACUGAUUUAACCACAGGAAAACACUACAGCAAUUUCAAGGCAGAGACUGACGCACUCAUGAAGGCCGUCUCAAUGAUUGAAAACUCGGCAGAAGAAAGUUCCUCAGUCGUCUUUCUUACAGAUGCACUGUCUGUCAUGGAAGCUCUUAUCAACAAUAAAGCUCCGCAGCUAGCCAGGAGAAUGCAGCACCUGAGUAUAACCUGCAAAGUAGCACUUCAGUGGAUUCCAUCCCAUUGUGGACUUGCAGGCAAUGAAGAGGCAGACAAACUGGCUAAGUUAGGAGCUCAGUCAGAACAACCAACAGAACAUGUGAGUCACAAGGGGAAAGUCACCAUCACUAAUGAGACAAUGCAUUAUCAAUUGAAACAAACUUGUGCAAACUUGUUUUCGAAGUUAGCAUUGUAAUAAAUUGUACAACAUUUGACAACAAGGAUCAGCUCUUUU